rnacentral:rRNA from 1 species
AACGAACGCUGGCGGCAGGCCUAACACAUGCAAGUCGAGCGGAACUUUCGGGGUCAGCGGCGGACGGGUGAGUAACGCGUGGGACUAUGCCCUUCUCUACGGAAUAGUACUGGGAAACUGGGGGUAAUACCGUAUACGCCCUUUGGGGGAAGGAUUUAUCGGGGAAGGAUUAGCCCGCGUUGGAUUAGGUAGUUGGUGGGGUAAUGGCCUACCAAGCCGACGAUCCAUAGCUGGUUUGAGAGGAUGAUCAGCCACACUGGGACUGAGACACGGCCCAGACUCCUACGGGAGGCAGCAGUGGGGUAUCUUAGACAAUGGGGGCAACCCUAAUCUAGCCAUGCCGCGUGAGUGAUGAAGGCCUGAGGGUUGUAAAGCUCGGUCAGCUGGGAAGAUAAUUACGGUACCAGCAGAAGAAGCCCCGGCUUACUCCGUG